GACGGGGGAUGCAAGUGUUAUCCGGAAUCACUGGGCGUAAAGCGUCUGCAGGUGGUUUCCUAAGUCCACUGUUAAACCUUGAGGCUCAACCUCAAAUCUGCAUUGGAAACUAGGAGACUUGAGUAUAGUAGGGGUAGAGGGAAUUUCCAGUGGAGCGGUGAAAUGCGUAGAGAUCAUGAGGAAGACCAGUGGCGAAGGCGGGUCUCUGGACAGUUCCUGACACUGAGGCACGAAGGCCAGGGGAGCAAACGGG
rnacentral:rRNA from 1 species